UGUCGACAUUAUAGUUGCGCAGGCACUUUGUUGACUCUAGAGAACCUCGGGCCAAUUGCACGACCCCAUGACGGCGACUUUGCAUUUUGAUGUCUUGCCUUUCAACUUUCGAUGCCACUUUCUGCCCCUACCAUGGUGACCACGGGUAACGGGGAAUCAGUGUUGGAUUCCGGAGAGGGAACCUGAGAAAUGGGUACCACAUCCAAGGAAGGCAGCAAGCACGCAAAUUACCUACUCUCGACGCGGGGAUGUAGUGACGACA